rnacentral:rRNA from 1 species
AGAUUGAACGCUGGCGGCAUGCCUAACACAUGCAAGUCGAACGGGAGUAGCAAUACUCUAGUGGCGGGACGGGUGAGGAAUACGUAGGAAUUUGCCCUUAAGGUGGGGGAGUAACCCGGGGAAACCCGGAUUAAUACCGCAUGACCUCGAAAGAGCAAAGGUGGGGGAUCGCAAGACCUCACGUCUUUUGGAG